GUAGGGGGCAAGCGUUAUCCGGAAUUACUGGGUGUAUAGGGUGCGUAGGCGGCGAUUUAAGUCAGAUGUGAAAACUCAGGGCUCAACCUUGAGACUGCAUCUGAAACUGUGCAGCUAGAGUGUCGGAGAGGCAAGCGGAAUUCCUAGUGUAGCGGUGAAAUGCGUAGAUAUUAGGAGGAACACCAGUGGCGAAGGCGGCUUGCUGGACGAUGACUGACGUUGAGGCUCGAAAGCGUGGGGAGCAAACAGGAUUAGAUACCCUGGUAGUCCACGCCGUAAACGAUGACUACUGGGUGUCGGGGAGCAAAGCUCUUCGGUGCCGCAGCCAACGCAAUAAGUAGUCCACCUGGGGAGU
rnacentral:rRNA from 1 species